AUUGUCUGAGACGGAAGGGAGGAGGAGAGGGGGCAAACGCACAAAUUUAAAAAGCAAAUAAAUUAUUCAUGAGAAAUGACUUUAUAUUUAAAGAAGUGAUGGAAGAGCAGAAUCAGGAAACAGAAAGUCAAAGCAGGUUGGAAUGCAUACUGAUUAUUUCACAGCCUUCCUUGUCCUGUCAGCCUAUGAAAUAUUAUGGUCUCAGGUACCCGGGAACUGUGAGGACCACAGGAAGUGACCACGUCACAAGGAGGUGCUGAAGGGGGAAGAGGCGCCUGAGAGGAAAUGCCACUGCCCUGCUUUCUCCUGGAGGCAGCCAUGAGCCUCAGCCUCCUGUGCUGGGUGGCUCUUUUUCUCUGGGGAGCAGGCUCUAUGGACACUGAGGUCACCCAGAGUCCCAGUCAUCUGGUCAAAGGAAAAGACCAGAAAGCAAAGAUGGAUUGUGUCCCCAUUAAAGGACACGCUUCUGUUUACUGGUAUCACAAGAAGCUGGAAGCAUUUGAGUUUUUGGUUUAUUUGUUGAAUGGAAAAAUUACAGAAGAUACAGCCAUGUUCAAACAUCGAUUUUCAGCUGAGUGCCCCCAAAACUCACCCUGCAGCCUGGAAAUCAACUCCACCGAGCCAGCGGACUCAGCUCUGUAUUUCUGUGCCAGCAGCCAGUCCACAGUGCUGCACGUCAGCUCUUCUUCGAACACAAACUCACCAUGGACCCAGCUCAGGAAAUCAGUGGUGUCGUAGGAGGGUAGGAACUAACAGAAACCCACCUUGAAAGAGCAUAAACCAGAUGGACAAAUCUGUAAAUGGCCACACAGGAUGAGCAGAAGGGGAGGUGGAAAACAGCUGGUGGGAACGCAAACCCAAGGAAGAGGAAGGAAGCUGUAAGGGGUCUCAGUUCCCCAGUUUGCAGAGUAUCUGGCAAAGGAGACACAGGAUGUGACCUUGAUGGGUUUCUAACCACCUUUAUUAAAACAUGCUGCUAAGUUACUUCAGUCGUGUCCAACUCUGUGCGACCCCAUAGACGGCAGCCCACU